GCCCCUGUGGCGCAGCCUGGUUAGCGCAGUGGACUUUUAAUCCAUUGGUCGUGGGUUCGAAUCCCACCGGGGGCACCA
rnacentral:tRNA from 1 species